GGCUCCUGCGGCGGCACCGCGCCACAUCCGCGUCUGAGCCGCGUCUGCCGCACUCCCGCUCCCCGCAGCCCGACGACGGGCCCCGCCGCAGCUCGGAUCGUUUCCACCUCCAUGCAGCGAAAAGCAACGAGAGCUGCGGCGCGACGGGGUCUUUGGAUCCCGCGGCCUGGGAGAUCAGAGCGCUGCGUGCGCCCACGAUGAAAGGCGCCGCUCCGUCCUCCGAGUCGGGCGGAAACCGCCGCACAUCGCGACGCAGCAGACGUUAUACGACAGGAGACAACCCACUCAUUAGCAUCGUCUCCAUUAGCGUCCACUGAUUUUUAGUCAAUCAAGGAGGAGCGCGUAAUAAAUGACUGAGGACAUGAUUGGACCGGUUGCUAGGCAACCUCUGAAAUCCUAUGAGGGCAAAAAAACAACAUGUUUGCUCCAUUAUAUUUUGGUUGAACUGACAGACAGACACAUAAGGCUGAUAACAGCUGAUGAUGAGACGUGGGCAUCAGGAACCUUUAGGUCCAAACACCAGAUCCACUUCAUGUACAGUUGUACUUGAUGCUGCGCCGCACGUCGGGAGCUCAGACGGCGGCGACAACUGCGAUUGGGCGUAAACAGGCAGCGUUUAUUCAGACAGCAGGCUUGACGUGAGAUGCCAAACACUGGGAACAGGCGUCGGGUCAGGACCCUUUUGGUCUGAAUACAGUACCUAACCAAGCGUCACUGACUACGACUGGAUUAACCGAGGAACGAGUCAGACUCUCCAAUAUGAACCUCAUUAUUCACCAAGUGACAACAGUGAUUUGGCUCAACGGCAUCAGGUCAGCGUUGGUGAUCUGUCACACUCCAGUGUGUGCAGCUCGGUGUUGGUGACUGAUCCAACGCCGCGGUGCUCGGACCCACGCAGCCUCUGCCUCUGCAGGCGCACCGCACUGUUUGCAUAGAAACGCGCCCAACGAGGAACAUUAGACCCGAGUUGGGGUCGUGAGCGCCGGAGCGGCCCGUCCGAGCGGGACCCGGGCCUCCACGGCACCACCUCUACGCUUCCUGGACAGCGUGGGCCCAUGCUGUGCCCCCCCCCCCCCCCCACCCCCGCCCCCCGCGGAGGCCGGGCUCCGGCCGUGUUCUGCUCGGAGAGUCACAGCUGGAUCACUGAACCGGACAUCAGGAUGCAGCAGAACACGCCUGUCUGCUGGAGCCACGAGUCACUGAAGACAUCAAACUUCACGCCGGUCUUUGUGCGGACUGAAGUUAAUCUACAGAGGAUCCCGAGAAACAAUAAGGGACAAAGUGUGUAAAGGAAAAGCCAUGAAACAGAAUGGGGACACCAAAUGUCAUUACGUGUCACCACGCAAAGAGAGACUGUCAAUAUACUUAGGGAAAUGCAGCGGUGGCAGAAAGCUCAGAUCUAUUCUCAGCCCGGCUGGAUGUGAUGCUCUCUGAAGCCUUGGGCUGGAGGAAGGAGGUCAGUGUGCGACUGGAGCUGGAUGCUGUUCUGCCUGUUAUGAGUUCCAGUCUGGCGUCCAGAACAUCAGGGUUAAAGCCUUUGAAGUCAUCAGGCCAAGACGGCCUUUGAAUAGAGAAGGUAACCUCGCCUCAGGAUUCUCAUUUCUCUUAUUAUAUUGCAUAUUAGCUAUAGGUGGCUCACACCUCCCCAGGAAAGUCUGAGGCAGGACCCUGAUAGUCCAACAUGUGAUUCUGGAGCAGCUGUGAGGCUUCCACCCUGGUUGUGGAGGCUCAACCAGCUCUGAACUGAACCUUUAGCAGGGGUUUGGUAAAUGUGUAGAAAGCGUUCACUAACGGACAAGAUGCCAAAUAAAUCCCAAAUUUCCUUAGUUCCGUUUUAAAUGACAAAUCUAAAAACAGCAGUCUCCUGUAUCUGGAAGAGUUAGUGGUGGAUAAAACUGCGCCUUAUUAAACCAUGUGACAGCCACAGAUCCUGGUGGAAUAUGUUUUUAAAAACUCCAAAAUAAUUAGCAUUCUGCCACCGUCUGCGGCAUCAGACACGUUACCUGCAUGGAGCGCGUUCAUUUUCCCGCUCGCUGCAUAAAGCUGCUGCUCCUCAGCGCUCUGACACGGAUGAUUUGUGCUUCCAUCCCCCAUCACUUUAUAAAUAUUUUUUUUACCAACCUUAAUACUUCAUUGCUUGUAUGAAAGGAAGCCUUUUCACUGUGUCAUAUCCUGGGAGGUAUUGAUUUAUCCUGGCUCUAAUUGCUUUGCAACUGCCAAGUGCUUCGGUGCCUGAGUUUUGCACUGGAAGAUGAAAGGAACGUGCCCCUUGAUUUGGGUUUUCUGCCCCAAGGCUGCGAACGCGUUGACAUUUUACCCUCACUUAACCAGACUUUAAAUAAUAUUAUAUUUCUUAAAUGUAGUUUACUUUCACUGUUUUGUCAGUGGGCGCAGAUCUUUAAGCCUUUAAAACAUGUUUCUAUUCAUAAUUUGUGCUUAUUAUAUCAAAUAUUUGAUCAUUUGUAUAGUUUAUUCAAUUAUCAUCAAACAUGAAUGAUCACAUAAACUGCACACAUGUAACUUUGAACAUUUUUUUCUUGGA